rnacentral:rRNA from 1 species
UCUGGAGCUAACGCGUUAAAUCGACCGCCUGGGGAGUACGGCCGCAAGGUUAAAACUCAAAUGAAUUGACGGGGGCCCGCACAAGCGGUGGAGCAUGUGGUUUAAUUCGAUGCAACGCGAAGAACCUUACCUACUCUUGACAUCCAGCGAAUCCUUUAGAGAUAGAGGAGUGCCUUCGGGAACGCUGAGACAGGUGCUGCAUGGCUGUCGUCAGCUCGUGUUGUGAAAUGUUGGGUUAAGUCCCGCAACGAGCGCAACCCUUAUCCUUUGUUGCCAGCACGUAAUGGUGGGAACUCAAAGGAGACUGCCGGUGAUAAACCGGAGGAAGGUGGGGAUGACGUCAAGUCAUCAUGGCCCUUACGAGUAGGGCUACACACGUGCUACAAUGGCAGAUACAAAGAGAAGCGACCUCGCGAGAGCAAGCGGAACUCAUAAAGUCUGUCGUAGUCCGGAUUGGAGUCUGCAACUCGACUCCAUGAAGUCGGAAUCGCUAGUAAUCGUAGAUCAGAAUGCUACGGUGAAUACGUUCCCGGGCCUUGUACACACCGCCCGUCACACCAUGGGAGUGGGUUGCAAAAGAAGUAGGUAGCUUAACA